rnacentral:lncRNA from 1 species
UGACAGUUCCCUGACCUUUCUCCUCUCUCCGGCCCCCCCCCCGGGGGGCAGACGCAUGCUGUGUGGGGACCCCUGGGGGCGUUGGGGGCUUCCGGAGUGAAUGCAGCCAGGGUGGAUUAUAAUGCCUGCUGCCAAAGACUGAGGCGCUGGGCUGGGAGACGCUGGGUGAAGAGCAUUGUUGUUACAUUUUGUUAAAAAUAUGGAUCAAAGGCUGGCUAUACAGUGCAGAGGGUGCUGGCUGGCCCAGCAUCCGGGUCCUUUCUCAGAGCGCCGCGGGACGCAGGCGUGCACGCCCGCCGGAAGUGGGAGAGUCUGUCGGCGGUGCCCGGCGCUGUGGCCCUGUCUCCUUGUCUACCCGCCUGGACACAUACCUGGCCACCUGCCCCCUGCGGAUUCCUUCCACACUUCCGGUUUUCCAUUUCAACUUUUCUCCUCCUCCAUCAUUUUCUUCCCCUUCAG